rnacentral:rRNA from 1 species
GAGUUUGAUCAUGGCUCAGAUUGAACGCUGGCGGCAUGCCUUACACAUGCAAGUCGAACGGUAACAGGUCUUCGGAUGCUGACGAGUGGCGAACGGGUGAGUAAGUACAUCGGAACGUGCCCGAUCGUGGGGGGAUAACGGAGCGAAAGCUUUGCUAAUACCGCAUACGAUCUACGGAUGAAAGCAGGGGACCGCAAGGCCUUGCGCGGACGGAGCGGCCGAUGGCAGAUUAGGUAGUUGGUGGGAUAAAAGCUUACCAAGCCGACGAUCUGUAGCUGGUCUGAGAGGACGACCAGCCACACUGGGACUGAGACACGGCCCAGACUCCUACGGGAGGCAGCAGUGGGGAAUUUUGGACAAUGGGCGAAAGCCUGAUCCAGCCAUGCCGCGUGCAGGAUGAAGGCCU